UUAAAUUUGGCUCGUACGUUUUUGAAGUACGGCUAUCCAUAAGUUGGUUUUUGUCAGCACUUGGCCUGUAAAAUUGUUGUUGUUCCGAAAAUAGGCGCCGCCUAAGUAUGAGGCUUAUAUUUUAGUAUAGUAGACCAUGUAGUAAAUGUGUAUAGAAGGUUUUAUUAAAUUUUGCUCGUACGUUUUUUAGGUACUGGACCAUUUGUAGGGUUUCUCAGAACUUGCCUUGUUAAAUGAUUAUAGUACUGAAAAUGGCCGCUAUAAAUGGAGAUUAUUAUCAUUAGAGUAGUGUUUGUUCAUUUAAAAUCUUUAUUUGUAGUAUUUAUCUUCACGUUAUUAAUGAAAUAUAUAUUUUGUAUGGUUUGAGUUGAUGAACUAGGUUAGGAUUCAGUUAGGAACUAGUUCCUGGUACUCGUUCUUUUUAUGGAGGGAAUCUAUGGCCAGUUUCAUGUCGGUGGAAAUUAACCUCUUGCAUGUUGUUAAACAUUAAUUCGAUUAUUUAAAUUAGAGAACAGUGUGUAAAAGUGGCGAGAAUAUUGGCAAAAUGUAUAUAAAUUCUUUUUUCAGGAUCUUGCCAGGAUGCUGCCUUCUGUUCCUUACUUCCUGAAACUGCUCAUCUUUUACUCCUCCAUGUGAUUGAGAUCUUCAGAGAUCUUCAAUCAAUGACCUGGAAGCUAGCAGCUAUUCUACUUGCUGUGUCAGCUAUUCAUCCUUCAUUUAUUCCCUGAGUAUUUCUUAAUGGUGAACUGGGUAUGGAGUGUAUGGGCCAGCAGGAACGCAUGCAGCAUAGCUGUGCACGAUCAACAGGGCAAAAGAAACGGCUGUUAACACUGAAGCAAACGAACAUGUUUAACUUUUUCUUUUUCCCAUUUAAAUUGAUAUGAACACUCCUUUGCACCAGCCUUUGCACCAAUUGUUUCGGAUUAUAAACGCUCUGCUGUAAACUGUCCACCUACCUCUAUUCAUUAACAUCAAUUGAAUGUAGAUUUAAGCAGUAUUGCAUAUUAAAUGUUUAGUAUAGAGAAGUAAGAAAAUAAAAUUUUUCUUUAAAUAA